AAGCAAGCAUAACCAUGGCAAUGGAGUUUCCACUAGUGAUCAUGAUGAAGCUUUCUUUUUUUGAUUCAAAGCAACAUAAGCCAACCCUGCCAAAAAGAUCAAUCCCAAACAUAUUAACAUCAUGAUGAAUUUCAUUUCAGAAUUAAUCAAGUGUUCAUGCAUAUGGCAUCAUGUACAAAGAAACACACAUACAUUUCCACGUGUUAGCAUAC
rnacentral:lncRNA from 1 species